UACGUAGGGUGCGAGCGUUUAAUCGGAAUUACUGGGCGUAAAGCGUGCGCAGGCUGUUUUUGUAAGUCAGAUGUGAAAUCCCUGGGCUCAACCUAGGAACUGCGUUUGAAACUACAAGGCUAGAGUGUAGCAGAGGGGGGUAGAAUUCCACGUGUAGCAGUGAAAUGCGUAGAGAUGUGGAGGAAUACCAAUGGCGAAGGCAGCCCCCCUGGGUUAACACUGACGCUCAUGCACGAAAGCGUGGGGAGCAAACAGG
rnacentral:rRNA from 1 species